rnacentral:lncRNA from 1 species
ACCCUUCAUCCCUAUGUUAAUCAUUUGAUUUUCAGACUUCAUCGGUCAGAGCCUGGUCCUCCUGCCAGUCCGAGUUGAAGCGACAGGGGGCGCUCUCCAAGAGCCGUGAGUCACCACUGGGGUUCAGCUUGCAUCUCCUUCAGAUGGGAGGCCGAAGACCCCAGAAAUGGUUCAUUUCUUUUCUUUAUGGCCCCAUCUUCCCCUUCAACACAGCUCCUGUCCACUUAAGUUACUGCAAAACUUCCUUCUCCAUGCCUGAUGUGAAGCCAGCUCCUCUCAGCACUAGUCCAAUUAACAUUGCCAUAAAACUACUGACGAGAAGCUGA